ACAUCGGUAGUGCAACGGUUUAGCACGCGCUCUCGAAGAGAGUAAAAUCUGGGUUCGAAUCCCAGCCGACGGA